UAACUGUUGUAAUUGUUGGAGAAAGACUGAGGACAGAGAUAAAGGACUAAGAGAACUUCUUUCCUGAGAGACUGAGUGGUUUAACUAUCAAAGAGGGAUGGAAUUUAACUCUUUUGUCAAGAAACAUUAGGAAGAAAGUUCUUGAGAAAAGACUUCAGCUGCCAUCCUGAGAGAACUAAAUGACAGGUCUUGUUUUCAGAGUGAUGGUUAGAGGUGACUGCUGCUGUGAUCUUUCUUACAGAUGAUACAUUGAUAACAGUGGAACAUACAAGCUGUUUGGCAAGGAAAAGACUUAGAGGAAACAUGGGAACAAGAUCACAGAUUUCAAGGUUGGAUUUCUGUGUCCAGGGCAACCUUCCCUAACACGGACCUGAGCACCAGAACCACAAAAUCAUUUCCAGUAUUUGGAUGGACUUCACCUUUCCCAGCUCCUCCUUCCAAGAACUCAACUUUUUGUGAACUUAAAAUGAAGUCUUUGCCCAGAUAGAUACCAUUAUUAGUAAAUUCUAGAAAAUACCUGCCUUCCAGUCCCCAAAGUCAGACCAUUCCAUUAAAAGUCAAGCCAAAUCAACAAAUGAGGAAACUGAGGCAAACUGAGAUUAUGUGACU